rnacentral:lncRNA from 1 species
UACCACACGUCCACACGCAGACGCACGCACCGCAGCCAAGCGACGUCGCGGCAGCGCGCUCGCCGUGCAGGUCUUCCUCUCCGGCCUCCUCUUAAGCUAGUCUCCCAGCUCGACUCUGCGGCGCGCCAUGGCCUUGUUGCACGAGCACCUCGACAUCAUCCGCGCCCACCUCCUCGACGACUCCCACGACGCCGCCGCCGCCGCCAGCUCCGAGGACUACUCAGCGUCCUCGCCCCCGCCCUCGCCGCCGGCUGCCGGGCGGAGGCCGCUUCCGGCGCUCUCCGUCGCGCUGCCCCCGAGGACCGCGGCUGUCGCCCUGCAGCAGCAGCAGCUUUGGGCGCCGCCGCCGCCGCCGCAGAUUAUUCACCACCACCAGCAGGAGCAGCACUGCUUCCCGGGACCUGAGGAGGACGACUUCCGGCGGUACCGCGGCGUGCGGCAGCGGCCGUGGGGCAAGUACGCGGCGGAGAUCCGGGACCCGGCGCGGAAGGGCGCGCGCGUGUGGCUCGGCACCUACGACACCGCCGUGGAGGCCGCGCGCGCCUACGACCGCGCCGCGUUCCUUCUGCGCGGCUCGAAGGCCAUCCUCAACUUCCCCAACGAGGUCGCCUUCGGCACCGCCGCCCGGUGGGGACCCCCUGCCGCCGCUCCCCGUCCCAGCGCUGCCACCGCCGGUAGUAACAAGAGGGCGAGGUCACCGGAGCCAGCGCUGCGAGAACAGGACGCCGGGUGCAUGGUCAGGGAGGUGAAGAAAGAGCGGGUUCAGGAGCCCGCCGCGAGCUGUGGUUGGGAUGGCGCCGUGGUCAUGGCGCCGGCGG